rnacentral:snRNA from 1 species
GGAUAAUUUGAGUUGAGUGC